GUGCGUUGCUCGUAGUCCCCGAGGAGGUCCCAUGUUGGGGGCAGCCGUAUUCUAAGACCUCGGAGGGGGGCAAAGUAAAAAUUAUUACCAAGAUGGGCUCCAGAGAGCAAUUUACAUCCAGGCGGUGGUGGAAGAGCGGAAGGCGUUGCGCGGGAGUCUCGGGAGCCUCGUUUGUGCGCUAAGCCACUUAGAGGCGCUGGCUUGCCCCUCUAGUGCAGCAGCUGAUGCUAAUGACUUGAAGACUUUUAACAGCCUGGAAGUUGACUCCUUCAACAGGGGCCGCAACACAUUUUCGCUGGGGAAUCUCUGGGUUCUUUUUCGCCUUUCAACUCCUAAGGAAAGAAAGACCUUUAAGUGUGUAGCCGGCUCCACUCUCUUAGCCCCACCCACACCACCACUUCUUUGAAGAGGACAAUCUUAGCUUCAGGAUAAAUCGUAUUGUGUACCCGCUGAAGUGGACGGAGCAGAACCAUGACUUAAGGAGGAGACAGUCUCGUUUUUAUCCAGUGUUGAAAUAAGCCAGUCCUGGUUAGCUCCCACGUCCCCACGUAUGUUUCAAGUUUUUCUGAUCAGACGGACCUGCUGCCUCGGUGUAAACCGGGCUUCCGCAAAAGAAGGGUUGCAAAAUCCCCAUUUAUUAGGGAAGAAGAGGGCAAUUUUCUCUCCAUUUCCAGGUCAUGGUUCAUCCCCCUCUCAUCCUACUUCCAAAGCUCUACACCAGCAAAGCCUCAGCUGUCCAACUGAAAAUGAAAGAAAGAAAGAAAGAAAGAAAGAAAGAAAGAAAGAAAGAAAAGCAACUCAUGGUGAAAGAGAGAAUGCACUGGAAGACAAGAGGAUGGCCAAUGAAACAGUGUGUGGAGGCUUUUUCCUAAGCUUAUUAAUGUCACAUAGGGAGUCUCUGGAUGGUGCCCUGAAGGUUGGGGGAGGUAAAGAAUGGAACUUCACAGAGGGUUGUUGCAUUGCACCUUGGAGAAGUGAAACUUUCUUAGAGAAUAAGAAACUUUCUAAGGGAUAA
rnacentral:lncRNA from 1 species